rnacentral:rRNA from 1 species
GACGUAGGGCGCGAGCGUUGUCCGGAUUUAUUGGGCGUAAAGGGCGUGUAGGCGGCUUCGUGUGUCCCAUGUGAAAGCCCUCGGCUCAGCCGGGGAACUGCAUGGGAAACUGCGGAGCUUGAGUCCGGGAGAGGUGAGUGGAAUUCCCAGUGUAGCGGUGAAAUGCGUAGAUAUUGGGAGGAACACCGGUGGCGAAGGCGGCUCACUGGACCGGUACUGACGCUGAGAUGCGAAAGCGUGGGGAGCAAACAGG